GGCCAGUUAGCUCAGUUGGUUAGAAUGUGGUGCUGAUAACGCCAAGGUCGCAGGUUCGAUCCCCGUUCGGUCCC
rnacentral:tRNA from 1 species